GGCUCAGGAUGAACGCUGGCGGCGUGCCUAAUACAUGCAAGUCGAGCGAAUGGAUUAAGAGCUUGCUCUUAUGAAGUUAGCGGCGGACGGGUGAGUAACACGUGGGUAACCUGCCCAUAAGACUGGGAUAACUCCGGGAAACCGGGGCUAAUACCGGAUAACAUUUUGAACCGCAUGGUUCGAAAUUGAAAGGCGGCUUCGGCUGUCACUUAUGGAUGGACCCGCGUCGCAUUAGCUAGUUGGUGAGGUAACGGCUCACCAAGGCAACGAUGCGUAGCCGACCUGAGAGGGUGAUCGGCCACACUGGGACUGAGACACGGCCCAGACUCCUACGGGAGGCAGCAGUAGGGAAUCUUCCGCAAUGGACGAAAGUCUGACGGAGCAACGCCGCGUGAGUGAUGAAGGCUUUCGGGUCGUAAAACUCUGUUGUUAGGGAAGAACAAGUGCUAGUUGAAUAAGCUGGCACCUUGACGGUACCUAACCAGAAAGCCACGGCUAACUACGU
rnacentral:rRNA from 1 species